AAGCCGGAUUAAUACCGCAUACGCUCUGAGGAGGAAAGGGGGGGAUCUUAGGACCUCUCGCUCAAGGGGCGGCCGAUGGCAGAUUAGCUAGUUGGUGGGGUAAAGGCCUACCAAGGCGACGAUCUGUAGCUGGUCUGAGAGGACGACCAGCCACACUGGGACUGAGACACGGCCCAGACUCCUACGGGAGGCAGCAGUGGGGAAUUUUGGACAAUGGGGGCAACCCUGAUCCAGCAAUGCCGCGUGUGUGAAGAAGGCCUUCGGGUUGUAAAGCACUUUUGUCCGGAAAGAAAACUUCGGGGUUAAUACCCCUGGAGGAUGACGGUACCGGAAGAAUAAGCACCGGCUAACUACGUGCCAGCAGCCGCGGUAAUACGUAGGGUGCGAGCGUUAAUCGGAAUUACUGGGCGUAAAGCGUGCGCAGGCGGUCCGCUAAGACCGAUGUGAAAUCCCCGGGCUUAACCUGGGAACUGCAUUGGUGACUGGCGGGCUAGAGUAUGGCAGAGGGGGGUAGAAUUCCACGUGUAGCAGUGAAAUGCGUAGAGAUGUGGAGGAAUACCGAUGGCGAAGGCAGCCCCCUGGGCCAAUACUGACGCUCAG
rnacentral:rRNA from 1 species